rnacentral:rRNA from 1 species
ACUCAAAGGAAUUGACGGGGACUUGCACAAGCGGUGGAUCAUGCGGCUCAAUUCGAUGACAAACGAAGAACCUCACCAGGGUUUGAAACCCAGACGACCGGUUUAGGAAACUAGACUUUUCGCAAGACGGCUGGGCAGGUGAUGCAUGGUCGUCGUCAGUUCGUGGCUUGAGUUGUUCCCUUCAGUGGGGUAACGAACGCAACCCGCGUUGCCUGUUUUACAUGUCAGGCGAGACUGCUCCCUCACGGGAGAGGAAGGUGCGGAUGACGCCAGAUCAGCAUGUCCCUCUGAUAUCCUGGGCUGCACGCAUGAUACAAUGGUCACGACAACGGGUCGCCACGGCGCAAGCCGGAGCUAAUCCUUAUAACGUGGCCCCAGUUCGGAUUGAGGUCUGCAACUCGACCUCAUGAAGCCGGAAUCGCUAGUAAUCGCGGGUCAGCUAUACCGCGGUGAAUACGUUCUCAAGUCUUGUACACACCGCCCGU